UCCGGUUUGGCACCGGCAGUCUCCGAUGAGUCCCCGGCAUCACCCGCUGGCAACAUCGGACAGGGGUUGCGCUCGUUGCGCCACUUAAGGCAACACCUCACGACACGAGCUGACGACAGCCAUGCAGCACCUGUGUGGACCGCUCCAUUGCUGGAGAAGGACGAUCUCUCGUCCGGUCGGUCCCAUGUCAAGCCUUGGUAAGGUUCUUCGCGUUGCGUCGAAUUAAACCACAUGCUCCACCGCUUGUGCGGGCCCCCGUCAAUUCCUUUGAGUU
rnacentral:misc_RNA from 1 species